rnacentral:tRNA from 1 species
GGGGUCAUAGGGUAGCCUGGUAUCCUACAGGACUGGGGGUCCUGUGACCGGCGUUCAAAUCGCCGUGACCCCACCA